AACCAAAAAUCGAUCUGUUCCUUUUGCAAACAGAGAUUACAAUGAAAGAGAGAGAGAGAGAAAGAGAGAUAGAAAUCAUGCAGCACUCAUCGGUUCCAAUACCAAUUCUGGCGUUCACGUAUAAAAUUAGUUUUGUCGCGUCACGUGUGCCAAGACUUAAAACGUCCUGACUGGUUGGAGGCAAAAAUUGGAUAAAAAUAAAAGGGCCAGCCCUCGCAUACAUGUAUAUAUUUUGGAGUACUUUGUACCAUUUUAUAAUUCCGUUUGCAAGUGUACACAAAGUGUACACAGUAGCUCUACGAUUUUUUGCCAAUCAGUUCGAAACAUUAAAUAACAAAAAAAAAAACGAUUAUGAUGAAAAUACGCGAAAAACCAAGAACUACACUUUUACACAAUUUGGAGUAAAUUAAAUAUUCAUUCAAAUGGCUUCUACGAAUGGACUAAGUUAUUUUUAUAAUAUUAUUUUCCAAUUGCAUAGAAUAUAUUGUUUUUCGCUGUGUCCAGUUUGAUUGGCAAUUUCAAAUAAUUGAAAUUCCUGUACGUUGGAACGACUCUAUUAUUUCUUCCAUGUACCGGCAACAAUGUUAUGAUUGGCUCUCGAGAACUUCUAUGUAACAACAUGAUUGGGGCCAAGGGAGAACUUGCGAUGAGUAAGUUAAUAGGGGUGAAGAAGUCACUGCGCCAUUUUGAAAUUAGACUUCCGAUUGUAUUGCUUCAUAAUGUCAAAUAAGGCAGUAAGACUGUUAUAUCCACUGCUUGAUUUGUUGCAAAAUCAUAUUAAUUGGCUAACACAUAAUUUUACUGAAGAUCCAAUAUAUAUCUAUACAUGUAUACGUAUACCUAAUAUAUAUAGUACAUAGACAUAUAAGUAAUAUCUUGAUUCACAAAACAGUAUGUUCGACUUUGAUGGACUGCUAGAACUGUACUGCAUUGAUGGUCGUUGCCUUUACACCUGUAUGUCUGCUUAACGGUCCACAACCAACCACCUUUUUUCCACUGUAUUGGGAAAAAUUGGUAGGUGUUAUAGCUCGGCCACAUAUAUAGGGGCAAAGUGGACUGUAGCUCAGGUGUUUCCUUGCAGCAGAACUCAGUUCAGUUUUAAUACCCCAGUCUCGACAUAGCGAGUUGUACGUUAUACCGCAGUCUAACGUCUCCGAGUGCUUAAACUCUGCCGACAAUUACCGACCGACCAUCGACCAACGUCCACGAACUAUUUGAUUACCUAAAGGUCGCAGCAGCAACCCCGUUUUCACCCCAUUUGUGCCGGACAUAGAAGGCUAGGUUACCACUACGGCUAACACUUGUCAACCACCAGUUUUAUCAUCGUCACUUUUGGUUCUCCAUCGUUUGCACAAAUAAUCCAUUGUAAUAGCGACCAAAUUGGUAUAGUUAUACACCAAUGAAAAACAUACAAAAUGUGUGAAUU